UACGGGGGGGGCAAGCGUUGUUCGGAAUUACUGGGCGUAAAGGGCUCGUAGGCGGCCAACUAAGUCGGAUGUGAAAUCCCCAGGCUCAACCUGGGAACUGCAUCCGAUACUGGAUGGCUUGAAUCCGGGAGAGGGAUGCAGAAUUCCAGGUGUAGCGGUGAAAUGCGUAGAUAUCUGGAGGAAUACCGGUGGCGAAGGCAGCCCCCUGGGUCAAGAUUGACGCUCAUGCACGAAAGCGUGGGGAGCAAACAGG
rnacentral:rRNA from 1 species